GGGAAGCCGGUCGAAAUCCGGCGCUGACCCGCAACCGUAGGCGGUGGCCGCAAGGCCGCCGCGAGUCGGAAUACC
rnacentral:ncRNA from 1 species